rnacentral:lncRNA from 10 species
AUAGCAGCCAAAAAGUGGAUGGCCAAGAAAUAAAAGAAGCCCAAGUGUCUAUCAACAGACGAAAUACAAGGGAAUAUUAUUCAGCCCUAAAAAGGAAGGAAACCUUCUCACUUGCUACAACAUGAAUGAAACUUGAGGACAUUAUGCUAAGUGAAAUAAGCCUCUCACAAAAAGGUAUUCUAUCUCCCAGGAGCCCUGUUUCCUGCUUUCCUAGGUCCCUGGAUUCUGCUGAACUUAAAACAUCAAAAAAAAAAAAGACAACUCAAUUGACCAGUUAAAUCCCAGCACUGCACCCCAGCAUAGCGCAGGGGAGAAGGGAAGCUGGACCUGGAGCCGGGACUCCAGUGCUUCUCAUUGCAAAAGAAGCAAGUGGUAAAUAAAUUGGAAGAAGACACAUCUGCAGGAGGGGAAUUGUUUACAGAGUUUACAAAGGGCAAGAAGAAAGGUAGAUGUGAGCUGAAAAAUAUAAACAAUGGGUAAAAAUGCAAAGAACUAAUAAACCAGGAUUCUCUUAUUGCAGCGAUUUGGAGCUGCUUAAUCCUGGCCUCCCAGGAUUCAGUCCCUCAUUCAGUUGCCUAAAGAAAAAUUCCUCAUGCAUUGCUUUAAAAUUCAUCUUUAUUAGGGAUAGACAAUCAAAGUAUAGACAUGUAGCCCAGGCGCAGUGGCUCAUGCCUGUAAUCCCAGCACUCUGGGAGACCGAGACAGGCAAAUCACCUGAGCUCAGGAGUUC